CCCUCUCUCUGAACCAUCAAUUUCCAAAACCCUUAAUUCCGCACUCCUUUCUUUGAGCUAUUAAUUUUCAAAAUCCUCAAUUCCACCCUCCCUCCCUCCUCUAAGCUAUCAAGGGUUAACGAUUUCAAGAAGAAAGGGAGGUAUAACGACUGUUUAAAUCUUAUCACCACUAGCACUCUGUCCUCAACGACGUGGUUCUCCUUGAGAGUCAUUGCUGCCUCUUUCAUCAGAUGGAGAUGAAAAUUACAGAGGUAAGUUCAGCUAAUAACGAUGAUUGUUGCUUGGACCAAGAGAUGGAAACGGAAAAAUGUCAAUCUGGUGGUGAUAAACUACUAUUUCAUGAUAAAUCUUGUGCUUAAAUUGAGUGAUUUUAUUAACUUUUCACCUACUUAUUCAUAUGAGUGUGUAUGAUUUUGCAAUUCUUUUCUUAUGAUAUGAAAUGUGAGAAAAUAUGUUUCUUAUGCUUUAAAAUAAUCAAAUUUAAUUAUCCUUUAUUAUCAUUCGAUGCCGUGAUUUGUGUGUUGAGUACUUUCAGGUUUUAUAGGGUAGGAAUGACUUAAAGGAUGCGAAGGAAACAUACAAAAUGGAAGGAAAGCACAAAUUGGAGUUUUGGAGAAACUGGCAGCGACGCGUCCGCAUGGAUGAUGCGAAUGCGUGCUUUGCAUAAAUUAGCAUCGACGCGAGCGCAUGGACGACACGAACGCGUGGCGUGCGAAACACAACUGACGCGGACGCAUGACUGACGCGACCGCGUGGAAGAGCAAAACUCCAGAUGACACGACCGCGUGACCCACGCGAACGCGUGACGUGCGCGAUCUGCAGAAUUCGCAGAAGUCCGUUCCAGUGACUUUUGGGCUCUUUUUGGCCCAGAUCCAAGCCCAGAGAACACAGAUUAAAGAGUUAUAAAUGGAGGAAUCCAUCCAUUCAUGAGGAUAGACUAGAGAGACUGGAUACAACAUACAUUCAAACAUAAUUUAGAUGUAGCUUUUAGAGAGAGAGGUUCUCUCCUCUCUCUUAGGAUUAGAAUUAGGACUCCUCUUAAAGGACUUAGGAAUAUUUCUAUCUUCUUCAAUUACAGGUUCAAUGUUCUUUCAAUUUAUCUUUUCAAUCUAAUUUAUGAACUUGCCCAUGUUAGAAUUGACAUCUUUAUUUAAAAAUAA